ACAAGCCCCUGUGCUGGGGGAUGGGAGGAGCCUCAGGCUGACCCUCAUGUCCCCUCCCUGCCCCAAGCUGACCUGAGUGUCUCUUUCCCAUCCAGGACUGACCCUUGGUGUCCCCUCCCUGCCUGUGGCUGACCCCUGGGAGUCCCCUCCCUGCCCAGGGCCGCUGACCACAAGCCCUGACUGGGGCCCCACGGGCACGGAGGGCUCUUGUGCCCGUCGCUGGCUUCACAGGGGAGGGAAGGAGGUUCUGCAGGACACACUCACAUGGGGGCCAGCAGUGCUCCCUGCUUAGAACGGCAGUUGGUGACAGUUAAGGGUCUGUGUUCCCAAUGCUGGCUCCUCCUCCCUGGUUCUCCCCACAGGAAAUGAAGGAGGCCACUCAGGUCUCCUCCCAGGACAUCAAGCAGAUAGACUUGGACAUGAACAGAACCUUCCGCAACCACAUCAUGUUCUGGGACCACUUAUAGGGUCAGGACGAGGAACAGAUGUGCACCAGCAUUUACACGCCCAAGUGGUUCCUUCAGUGUUUCAUCAAUUGAGUGAAGCCACCCAAGGACACCUGCUCCCUGACCUGCUCCCUGACCUCGGGAAGGGCCGAGCUCAGCCCCACCCUCCAGACAAGCCAGGCCUGACCUCGGGGCCCUAGGGCUGCGGCUGGCAGCCCAGAUCCAUCCUGGAGAAGCCCAGAGGGCUCCUUGAGAAGGUUCUGGGGGAUGCUGUCUCUGCCUCAGUUCCCCCAGUAAGGCCAGGUCAGCCUGGGGUGUGGACAAGGCCUCGGCCUAUUCUGCCGCCAGCCUGGAGUCCUCUCCAGGCCCCCUUCUCGCUCCCCCUGAAGCUCAGGGACUCCUACAUCCUGGACGGGGAGCGCAUGCUCACAGCCGUGGCUUACACCAUCCUCAAGGUGCACAGCACAGGACCUGAAGAGUUCCCCAUGAUGCCCCUGGGCCUGGAGCAAGUGUCCCCAGAACCCAGGCCUCUCCACCCUUCUCCUAGCAUUGAGUAGCUGCCAAGCGUAGAUAAACUGGCCCUGCGGCCAGCCACGCAACCUGAGCAGCCUGGACCCCUUCCUGGCCAGGCCGUCCUCAAGGCCGAGGAGCUGCUGCAGGAGGGAAGCUCCCCAGAGUCCAUGGCUGCACACCUGUGUCUGGGAACAUCAGGGGCUCUAGUUCUGGCCCGGCUGACCCCAGCCCAGACUACUCACUGGCUUGGCUGCCCCCACAGCGAUGACAUUCCCUCCCCGUGCUCCCAGUGAACCAGGAGGGUGAAGGCAGGUGGCCCCUGGACAUGGGCUUGAAGCCAGAACACUGGGUCCCCUUCCCUUCAGCACCUGCCUGGGCCACCCCAGAAGCCACACGACAGACCAGGCCCUGGAACCCCCCAGGGGCUUCCAACAUGGGGUUCACCCAGUCCACUAAAGAUGAUGCUAUAGGGACCAGGACACCCUUCCUACCCUGUGGCCACUGCAGCUCAUGCCCCUCGCUGGGCAGUGACUGUCACAGCCAAGACAGAGCCAGGGCAACGCUGAGCCAGCUGCCCCAAGCCCUGCACAUGCCUGGGAGCCUCUGAUCUCUGUAUCCACAGGAAAGCUCAAUGUUCACCAGCUUCUGGAGCAGAGUGUGAUAGUGAGUGUGGGGCCUCUGAGGCUCUGGCCAGCCAGCACCAUGCCCUACCUCGUGGCACCAUCCUUCCUGGAGGGUGGCAGCACCCAACAGGACACAAGUCCCUGACCCAGAGGGGCUUGGGCUGGCCUGGCAGCACAGAUGACACAAGCCCCACCCCGGGCCAGAAUGAAGACAGAUGGGAUCUAGCCCCCUGGUGGUCCUGGCCAAUCCUGGAUUCUGCUCCAAGGCUGGGCAAGCCCCCUCAGAGCAGUUUGUGGCCACCUGGGACCUGGGCGUUCCCCACAGAUCCUGGUUGCCGACCUAGGACAACUGGGAAUAACAGGACACCCCGGCUAAGGGAUAAGCAGGGGCAGGCAGGUGGGCCCCACCCUCACCCACACUAGGAGGCGGCUCCUCCACAUGCUGGGUCUCGAGCAGUCACCUGGCACCAAUAUGCCAGAGGCCAGGGUCCAGCAGACUUGCUUGGACCCGCCCCAGGAACCCAAAAGCUGCAGGUCCAGGUCAGGUCUGCUGUCCUCAGAACUGCCUCUCCUGGCCCAAACUCAGGAAAUGUGCCCCCACCCGGAGUCACACCGGCUCCAAGGUGGGGAACUCUAGACCCACACCCCCGUGUGAUUUCGGCAUUCCCCUAAAGGACAAGGUCUCCCUCCCCAGGGGAAGGCACGCACCCUUGGCUCUGAGUCCCUGUUUGCCUUUGAAAGUUCAAUAAAGUGUUAAAAUGCAAA